rnacentral:pre_miRNA from 1 species
UAGGGUGACUGACCAUCUUGGUUUGUCUGGAACUGAGGGCUUUUUCAAGGCACAGGACUUUCAGUACUCAUACCAGGAAAGUUCCAGGCAAACUGGGAGGGUUAGUUACCCUAGUUCUAG